rnacentral:rRNA from 1 species
AUCUGGGCAGCGGAAUUCAAGAUUGUCGGCGCUCGCGUCGACGGUCUGAUAUUUCCGUUGUCGGCCCGAUAAGGGCGUAGACGUUGCGACCCGUUCGGUGUCCGUCCUUGUUCGGAGGAACCGCGUUCGAGUUCACUGCGGCGCGAGCUUGUCUCGUGCGGGGGUGAAGUUCGCGAACUUCUGGCCGACUGGCCGGACGGUAUGUUCCGAUGGGGGCCGGGGCUCGGUACCUUGUGUACCCCACGUCGGGACCGGUCAGCGACGAUUCUUCCGGCCUUUUUC